GGCUAUCGUAAUGCACAUUAGGUGACCUUUUGACAUGUUUGAAACAUUUCUAGGAAUUAAAGGGCUUGUUAGCUAUUGUGUAUGACUGCAGUGUAGGGCAGGCAGUGCAUGUGUAUGUUAUGGGUUAAUAAGACUGAAUGUCAUAGAUAUUUGCAUUUGACGAGACACAAGACAAAUUAGGCAAGACAUGCAUAUUUUGUGGGCAUUCAGCAGAUAUAAAUUUAUUUUGGAUAAAUACAUCACAUACACAUGCAAGGUCAUUACAGCAGAUGUCAAUUAUAAAAACAAGAUAAAUAAAGAAUUUGUAGACUGAGGCACAGGUGUAAAGUCAGAUUAUUAUGCAGGGACUGACAAAUAUUCAUUUCUAAUGAGUGGGUUUAUAUACGAGUUAGAUUAUUCAGAAAUACAAAGUUUACAUAUUUAUGGCGACACGUUUAUUUCAUGACAGUUUGUUAACUGACAACUGAUACAUUGUAUAUCUUUUUCUGUGUCAUUGAAUUACAGAUUGAACAGUUCAAGUUCAAGUUCAAGUGAGAGAUUGUAACUGCAAUGGUCAUUAAAGUCUUUAAGAAACGUCGAACUCGUGUGAUAAUAUUGGUACUCAUCUUGUUGUCACUAAUUCGUCACUCCAGAGUUGUUAGAACAUUUCCAAAAUUUGAGUUAGUCAUCUUGUCACAAACGCCAACCUCCACAUUAGUUCAAUAACAAGCUAUGAACUUUUGGAUCAAAGAUGAGUGACAUUCCAAAGACAGCUGGGGCUGCGGCACCCGAUGUCAGACCUGAAGAUUCUGCAAGCAACUGUGGUCGAAGUAUUACAAGCUCUGUGACCAGCAGCAGGGCAAGGAGAGAUGCAGCUGCGAAAAAGGCUGCUCUGAUGGCUCAAGCUCAAUUGUUGCAGGAGCAACAGGCAUUGGAACUACAGACUUUGCAAUUACAGCAACGGAUGGCUGAGCUGAAGCUGAAAUCGCAGAUUGCUAGUGCUGAAGCAGAGGAGAAGGUGUAUAGAGCAUCUGAGGACAAAUCAGGAUUACCAGAUAAUCUUCCUUCAGGCAUUCAGUCAGCUAAUGAUGAUACCCUGCCAUAUCCUCGUCCUGACACAUCAGAGUCGAUGAUGAAGAUUAUUCAUGAAGGUCAGCAGCAACAGAGAAGGCUGAUAGAAUCUGUCACACUACCUCAAGCUGAUUUGAUGAAAUACGAUGGCAACCCCUUGAGGUAUUGGGAAUUUUGGAGAGCCUUUGAAAACAGUGUGGACAAGACUGCAGUAGAUGAUUCUGCUAAGCUGACACGCCUGUUUCAUUUCUGCACUGGUGAGGCUCAUAAGUUGUUACAAGCCUGCAUGGUAAUGGAUCCCACUGUUGGUUAUAAGAAAGCCAAGCAGAUGUUGAAAGAACGAUUUGGCAACCCUUACAAGAUAGCAGAUGCUUGGAUUCAAAGAGUUACUCAAGCUACAAAGAUUGAGCCCAACAAUAAGAAGGCUCUGCAAGAUCUAGCAGAUGAACUUCAUAUUUGCAUUCAAACGCUAGAUGCUAUGGGCUAUAAGUCUGAGCUGUCACCCCAGAAUGUCAUCUUACGGAUUGUCGAGAGACUUCCUUUCUUCUUGAGGGACCGAUGGUUAAAGGUGGUAGCCAAUAUCAGGAAGCAGAACCGGCUGCCACAGAUUGAGGACCUUUUAUCUUUCAUCCAGGAAACCUCAGCCCAACAGAAUGAUCCAGUAUAUGGACGACUGACUGAUCUGAAGCCUGGAUCCAAAGAUCAGUCAAAAUCGUAUCCCAAGAAAACAUGGGACAAGAAGGUAUCUAAGACACAGGGGAGAAGCUCAUACUCUACCUCUAGUAGCCCAGUUCCUGUGAACGUCAAGCCCUGUCUGAUCUGUCAAGAAAAACAUACACUUUUUGGCUGUGAUCGAUUCAAGAAAAUGCCACCAGAAAAGAGACUCCAGUUUGCUAAAGAGAAGCGGUUAUGUUUUAACUGCCUUCGUCCUGGUCAUAUGUUGUCAGCCUGCAACUUGAAUAGAACUUGUUCUGUUGAAGGUUGUGGAAGGAAGCAUACCAAGUUCCUUCAUCAGACGAAGAAGGCACCAUCAAGAGCACCUGACAAUCAAGUCGAAGAUCCCCCACAGAAUCAGGAAGGACAAUUAACAAGUGAUGGGGCCUCUAAUGGUUAUGUAGACAGUGAUGCUACAGGGGCCGGCAAGCGGAGUGUUCUUCCAAUUGUUCCAGUAAGAGUGCAAAGUGAUGGCAAGAAUUUUAUUCAGACGUAUGCUCUGUUGGAUACUGGAUCAACCCAUUCAUUCUGUACAGAGGCAUUAGCUCAUCAUCUGGGAGCUAGAGGAAGAAGUCAUCAACUUCGCCUGACAACUAUGGUUAAGAGAGAUGAUCACAUUGACACAUCAGUGGUCAGCCUUGUGGUAGACUCUGGGCCAUCCACAGACCGGAUUUAUCUUCCUCAUGUCUGUACUCGGAAGAGAUUGAACAUUCAGAAUUCUCACAUGGCCUGUAGAGAAGACAUCAUCAACUUGCCAUAUCUCAAAGGUAUUGAUAUCCCAUUGGCAGGGGAACAUGAAGUUGGCUUACUGAUUGGUCAAGAUACUCCAAGAGCACUGAUACCCUUAGAAGUACGCAAAGGAGACAAGGGACCUUAUGCUGUUAGAACUGCUCUAGGGUGGUCACUUCAUGGUCCGAUCGCUUCAAGAGGGAGAUGUGAUGCCUCUACCAAUUUCAUUCAAGGAGACACCUCUCUUGAUGAACAAGUCCAGAAGUUCUGGAAACUGGAGGAUGAGAAUUCCCUAUUCGAUGAUGAGAGAGGUAUGUCAUUUAAUGACAGGAAAGCAGUCAACAUCUGGGAGGACACCAUCACUUUGGACAAUGGUCACUACCAACUAGCCAUACCUUUCAAGGAACGCCCCCCUAGUCUUCAAGAUAACCGUUGUAUAGCGGAGCAUCGACUUCAGACUCUUGGAAGAAGGCUAGAAAGAGACACCCAUCUUCAUGAAAAAUACAAGGAAGGCAUAUCCGACCUCCUUCAGAAAGGAUAUGCAGAAGAAGUAUCUGAAUCAGACGACCAAGAUCAAGCUGUUACCUGGUACAUUCCUCAUCAUCCGGUAUUCCACCCUAUGAAACCAGGAAAGGUUCGCAUAGUGUUUGACUGUGCUUCUAAGUAUAAAGGACAAUCGCUAAAUGAUGUUGUACUCCAGGGUCCUGAUCUCACCAACAAAUUGAUCGGGGUUCUCCUACGUUUUCGUCAAGAGAGAAUUGCCAUUAUCGCCGAUAUAGAGGCAAUGUUUCACCAGGUCAGAGUUCCCCCGGAAGAUCGAGAUGUACUCAGAUUUUUAUGGUGGCCUGGUGGAAACCUGGAAGAGACCCCCAAGGCAUUUAGGAUGUGUGUCCAUCUGUUCGGCGGCACAUGGAGCCCCAGUUGCUGUAACUUCGCUAUGCGACGUACAGCUGAAGAUAAUCAUGGACAGUGUACUAGUGAUGCAGCCAAGGUGGUGCAAAGGAAUUUCUAUGUUGACGACUGCCUGGUGUCACUACAGGAUGAGGAAAAGGCUGUCAAACUUGCUACAGAACUCAGAAUGCUACUUCAGAAGGGAGGAUUUCGACUGGCUAAGUGGCUAAGUAACAACCCAAGAGUCCUUCAGACUAUCCCUUUGGAAGAUCGGGCAAAACAAGUAGCAGGACUCGAUCUUAAUCAUGAAGCCCUACCUGUUGAACGUGCUCUGGGUAUGAGAUGGGACAUAGAGCAGGACUGCUUUACCUACAAGAUCAACCCAAAGGACAAGCCUUCAACUCGACGAGGAUUACUCAGUGUAGUAUCUUCAGUCUAUGAUCCCCUAGGAUAUGCCAGUCCAUGUGUGCUGCAAGCAAAGAUGAUCUUGCAGGAGCUAACAAGACAGAAGUUAUACUGGGAUGAACCCAUUCCAGUUGAAGAGGCACAGAAAUGGAAGUCUUGGUUGGAUGAACUACCAGAGAUGGAAGAAUUUGAGGUUAACAGAUGUGUAAAGCCUCAUAACUUUGGUAAGGUAACAGAUUACCAACUCCAUAACUUUGCAGAUGCCUCAGAAGUUGCUUAUGGAGCUAUGACAUAUCUAAUGAUGACAAGUGAAGAUGGUCAAGUACAUUGCAGUCUGCUAAUGGCCAAGACACGUCUUGCUCCACUGAAGAAGUCAACCAUACCACGACUUGAGUUAAUGGCUGCUACCCUAGCAACAAGGAUGGACACCAUGAUCAGAAGGGAACUGGACUUUCCUAUCACCAAGUCAACAUUUUGGACAGAUAGCAUGAUAGUUUUGAAUUACAUUCAAAACAAAGAUAAGAGGUUCCAUACCUUUGUAUCCAACAGGCUUGCUAUCAUUCACAAUGCUACAGAGAUGGAUCAAUGGUACCAUAUUGACUCAACCUUGAACCCAGCAGAUAUCCUUUCAAGGGGCAUGCCUGCAAGUCAAUUGAAGGAGAGUUCGAGAUGGCUUAACGGACCAGAAUUUCUUCAACUGCCACAAGAAUUUUGGCCUACGUUUCCAAACGAGAAGCAAGGGAUUGAUGAUGACGACCCUGAAGUAAAGAGGACAAAAGGAAUGCAUAAUUUUGCAUCAAGCUGUGAUCAUGAAGACUGCAUUGACAAACUGAUCACACACUUCUCGGAUUGGACCAGGCUAAGAAGAGCAAUUGCAUGGUGGCUUAGACUGAAGAAAGUUCUCCAAGAGAAAGUGAAAAAGACGACACCAAUCCAAGACAGAGGCAAAACCUUAUCUGCCAAGGAAAUUGAAGGUGCUGAAAAGGUCAUUUUUCAGUAUGUACAGAGUCAUGCAUUCUCAGAGGAGUUGAGUGUCAUUAGGGAUUCAGGUAAUUCAGUCCCUAAAGUCACAAAAGGAUCAAGACUGUACAAACUAGACGCAGUUUACCAAGAUGGCCUGCUUCGAGUAGGAGGACGGUUAAGACAUGCAAUGAUACCUAGUGAAGCCAAACACCAAGUAAUAUUGCCCAAGAAGCAUCACGUGACUUCACUUCUUGUGAGACAUACACAUCACAGAGUUGGACACCAAGGACUGAAUCAUGUGUUGGCAGAGAUACGACAAAGAUAUUGGAUUCUUGGUGCUGGUGUUGUUGUAAGGAGCAUGUUAAAGAAAUGUGUUAACUGCCGCAAGUACCAGGCUAGACUCGGCAAGCAGAAGAUGUCAGAUCUCCCAUCAUUUAGACUUGAAGCUACCAAACCGGCCUUUACUAACGUAGGGAUGGACUAUUUUGGGCCAUUCGACAUUAAGUGUGGACGAUCAACGAGAAAAAGGUAUGGAGUUGUCUUCACCUGUAUGACCAGUAGGGCAAUCCAUAUAGAGGUAGCCGAGAGUCUUGAGACAAGCUCGUGUAUCGAUGCCAUUCGUCGUAUGAUUAGCAGAAGAGGGCCUAUCAAGAAAUUGUUCUCAGACAAUGGCACCAAUUUAGUGGGAGCCCAGGCUGAACUGAAAAGAGCUCUGAAGGAAUGGAAUGAAGACGAAAUCCUGCAUUUCACUGCUAAUCAAGGGAUAGAGUGGACUUUCAACCCUCCCACUGCUUCACAUCAAGGUGGUGUGUGGGAAAGACAAAUUCGCACCAUCAGGAAAAUACUGCAUGCUAUUCUGACUGAGCAGUAUUUAAGGACUUGUCAAUCUGAGGAACAGCUUCAUACACUGAUGUGCGAGGUUGAGGCAAUCAUUAACAGCAGGCCUCUCACACGAGUCUCUGAUGAUCCAGAUGAUCUGGAAGUAUUGACACCAAACAGUCUACUACUGAUGAAACAGGUGACAGCGCCGCCUCCAGGUAGAUUUACCGGGACAGAUGUCUACGCCAGAAAACGAUGGAGACAAAUGCAGCAUCUUUCUGAUCUUUUCUGGAAGAGAUGGCUACGCGAGUAUUUACCAGCCUUACAACAGCGUCAACGAUGGCAACAACCCGAACGCAACCUACAGAUUGGGGAUGUGGUCCUCAUCGCAGACGAGAUGGCGCCUAGGUGCUCCUGGCUUAUGGGUCGCGUUCUUGAGACACAUCCAGACAAACAAGGUUAUGUGCGUAGUGUUAAGGUGAAGACAGCAACGUCUACAUUCAUCAGACCAGUCACCAAGCUGUGUUUGCUUUUGGAGCAGGAGAUUUAGUGCCAAAAUUUAUAAACAGGGUUAUGCACACCCUGAGGUGUGAGCCUAGCGCCGCCUACUAGAGUUAUAAUUCAUUAUUUGAUAUUAGACAACAGAAAGGGUUAUGCACACCCUCAUUGAAAUUACGCGAUUGAGUAAUUAUCAUCUGCUGAUAGAAAUAACUUCAAAUAAGGGUUAUGCAUACCUUCAGUGAAAAAUCUUCAAGAGCAAAUUGAUUCAGAAACUAAAGAUGUGAAACAUAUAGCAUAACUUUGAUAUUUUGGAUGGAUCAACAUCGUGAGCAAGCAAGAGAAAGUACAGACCACAUGUAUCGUUUUACCAAGUCUAUUUUGAAUGACAGGACAUUAAAAUGCAGGACGUUUAAUACGCAUCCCAAAGGCUUGAUAAAGAUGGACUUGAAGGAAUGAAGGAACGAAAAAGAAAUUAAGAACUCACAGACUUUCAAUUUAAUUUGAUAGCUAUUUGAAUUGUGGACAAUUUUGCAUUCAUUUUAUCUUUUUCUUCGUAAGUGAUGCAAGUGCAGAGCUGCCAAGUAGUACUGAUUUUUCAGUAUUUAGUACUUAAAAGUGAGAAAAAUACUGAUAGUUAAAUGUAAAAUGCUGAUUUCUAAAGUUUCAGCUUUAUUUGUUCUUUGGUAUUUUUGAAAAUACUGAUUUCCUCUCUGAAAUACUGAUUUUCAACUUUAAAAAUACUGAAAUGUUCUUUUUUCAGGUUGGCAACUCUUUAAGUGUAUGAUUUUGACCAAUUCAACAAGAAUUUGUCUAUUUUUUCAUAUGCAAAUUUUCAGGUAAAGAAUCUGAUUUGGAAGUAAUAGUGCAGUUGUUGCACAGUUUAAUUAUUUAGACAAACUGUCUGGACAUAAGACUAAGUUUACUAUUUUGGAGCCUGUGGAUAAGGCUACAAUUCAAGGAAACAAAUUUGAACAAAAUUAAAGGGAUAAAUAAAUAAACCCUCUGGUCUGAAAUUUAAGACUAGUCAUGUUUAAAUUUGGUAGAAAGACUACUCAUUGUAGUUGAGUCUAGAGAAAAGACUAUUUGGUUUUGAAUUAAGUGCAAAAAUGCCAUAUGCAAAAGGCUACAGCACUACUUUUCCUUUCAGCCAGAUUCUUGCCAUACGUAAAUAUUCCAAUGUAUGCAAAACCAGGCUAAAUAUUGCAUGUAUUGAUUCAUGUUUUAUCAUGUUUAUUAGUUUUGCAGGAAAAUCACCUGAUUACUUCAUUUAUUUUUAUAAAAAAAAACAAAAACAAAAACAAAAAGUAAAAAACCAAAGGUGUCAAAGGACCAUGUACAUUUAUGAUGAUCGAUUUGACCAAAGAGCUGUACAAAUAUAAUUUGGGGCAGACUUUAAAGUUUGUCAAAAUCAGAAAGUAUUGAGUAGAAUAUAUUUGCCCUAGUUUUUCAAAGGUAUAUUCAUUUUCAAACUUGAAAUUGUUAAAGGGGCCGGAAAAGAUGGUCACUUCAUUUUUUUGAAAACAGCAUAAAGUCAAGAGUACAUUAUUUAGACUUAGUGAACAAAGGUAAUGAUAAUUAGCACUUGACCUUUUCAGAGGUGAUGACAUGAUGCAUUGAAAGGAAGUAUGAAUGUCAUUGUAUUGGAAUUUAAGUUACCAUAGCAACCUAAAAAAUUGUAAGAGAAGCAAAAAUUCAGAACUGAUUUAUUUUUCCUUUGGUUUGUAAAUGAUGAGCCUUAAGCUCCCAUUUAAGGGGCCGGGAUGUAAAUACGAGCUUCUGAAUUUUUGCGAUGACGUCAGAAGCGAGAGUUUUGGAUUCGUUUCACGAACAUGCCGAGUGAGGGCGUACUUGAUUUAUCGAGGAUCUAAAUUUUCUAUGAGAUAGAAUGAAAGUCAUUUUGGGAUUGUUUCUAAAAUUCAUGUUAAUCUGGAGAUGCCAAUGUUAUUGAACAGUUCAAGUUCAAGUUCAAGUGAGAGAUUGUAACUGCAAUGGUCAUUAAAGUCUUUAA
rnacentral:misc_RNA from 1 species